AGGAGCCAUUUGAGGAUGGCUUCGCCAACGGGGAUGAGCUGUCACCGGCCGAGGAGGCCGCAGCCAAGGAGGCGGCCGAGCCUAAGGGAGCGGUCAAGUUCGGGUGGAUCAAAGGGGUGCUGGUGCGCUGCAUGUUGAACAUUUGGGGCGUGAUGCUCUUCAUCCGCAUGUCAUGGAUCGUGGGCCAGGCGGGAAUUGUUCUCUCCUGUGUGAUCGUUCUCAUGGCAACAGUUGUGACCACCAUCACUGGCCUUUCGACCUCAGCGAUUGCGACUAACGGCUUUGUACGAGGAGG